rnacentral:rRNA from 1 species
CGGACGGGUGAGUAAUGCUGGGAAACUGCCCGAUGGAGGGGGAUAACUACUGGAAACGGUAGCUAAUACCGCAUAACGUCGCAAGACCAAAGAGGGGACCUUCGGGCCUCUUGCCAUCGGAUGUGCCCAGAUGGGAUUAGCUAGUAGGUGGGGUAACGGCUCACCUAGGCGACGAUCCCUAGCUGGUCUGAGAGGAUGACCAGCCACACUGGAACUGAGACACGGUCCAG